UAGCUUGCUAGAUUGAUGGCGAGUGGCGAACGGGUGAGUAAUACAUCGGAACGUGCCCUGUAGUGGGGGAUAACUAGUCGAAAGAUUAGCUAAUACCGCAUACGACCUGAGGGUGAAAGUGGGGGACCGCAAGGCCUCAUGCUAUAGGAGCGGCCGAUGUCUGAUUAGCUAGUUGGUGAGGUAAAGGCUCACCAAGGCGACGAUCAGUAGCUGGUCUGAGAGGACGAUCAGCCACACUGGGACUGAGACACGGCCCAGACUCCUACGGGAGGCAGCAGUGGGGAAUUUUGGACAAUGGGCGAAAGCCUGAUCCAGCAAUGCCGCGUGUGUGAAGAAGGCCUUCGGGUUGUAAAGCACUUUUGUCCGGAAAGAAAUGGCUCUGGUUAAUACCUGGGGUCGAUGACGGUACCGGAAGAAUAAGGACCGGCUAACUACGUGCCAGCAGCCGCGGUAAUACGUAGGGUCCAAGUGUUAAUCGGAAUUACUGGGCGUAAAGCGUGCGCAGGCGGUUGUGCAAGACCGAUGUGAAAUCCCCGAGCUUAACUUGGGAAUUGCAUUGGUGACUGCACGGCUAGAGUGUGUCAGAGGGGGGUAGAAUUCCACGUGUAGCAGUGAAAUGCGUAGAGAUGUGGAGGAAUACCGAUGGCGAAGGCAGCCCCCUGGGAUAACACUGACGCUCAUGCACGAAAGCGUGGGGAGCAAACAGGAUUAGAUACCCUGGUAGUCCACGCCCUAAACGAUGUCAACUAGUUGUUGGGGAUUCAUUUCCUUAGUAACGUAGCUAACGCGUGAAGUUGACCGCCUGGGGAGUACGGUCGCAAGAUUAAAACUCAAAGGAAUUGACGGGGACCCGCACAAGCGGUGGAUGAUGUGGAUUAAUUCGAUGCAACGCGAAAAACCUUACCUACCCUUGACAUGCCACUAACGAAGCAGAGAUGCAUUAGGUGCUCGAAAGAGAAAGUGGACACAGGUGCUGCAUGGCUGUCGUCAGCUCGUGUCGUGAGAUGUUGGGUUAAGUCCCGCAACGAGCGCAACCCUUGUCUCUAGUUGCUACGAAAGGGCACUCUAGAGAGACUGCCGGUGACAAACCGGAGGAAGGUGGGGAUGACGUCAAGUCCUCAUGGCCCUUAUGGGUAGGGCUUCACACGUCAUACAAUGGUGCAUACAGAGGGUUGCCAAGCCGCGAGGUGGAGCUAAUCCCAGAAAAUGCAUCGUAGUCCGGAUCGUAGUCUGCAACUCG
rnacentral:rRNA from 1 species